rnacentral:lncRNA from 1 species
GAGAGAGCGCAGCCAUGGCCAAGAGGAGAGAAGGGGGAAGGGAAAGAGAGAAAGAGAGAGAGUAAGAAAGGUGAAGGCUUAGAGAGAGAGAGGUAAAAGCUUAGAGAGAGAGAGUAAGGAAAGUAAAAACUUGAGAGAGAGAGAGAGAGCUUAGAGAGUAAGAAAUAGGACGAGGAGGGGCCAAACAGCCCCUCUUAUAGUGGGCUUGUUAUCUUGCUGUUGCUAGGUAACUAUGGGGAGGAGUCUAGUCUGAAGGUCAGAAGCUUGGGACAUUGUCUACGUGACUGAAAGCCACAUGCCUCUCCUGUGGGGGCUGUGGGGAGGGGGGCAGUAACUUCGACAGGAGUCAGGGGUCCAGGAGACAUGAGGGAACGCCUUCCAUCCCAUGUAGGUGAAAUUUCCCACCACUGGGUCCUACCAGGGAUCCAGACCUCAGCUCAACUGGAGACCAGGCUGUCCGCAUAGCCCAUUGCCCCACAGCCCUAGAGGACUACAGUCCCAAUGUUCUUACUGAACAAUGGUGCUGUGACUUAAUCCCCAUUUUGCAGGAAUAUCAGUAAGUCACACUUCUGGGGGAGCAAUCAGUCCCUGUUACCAUCUGACCAUCAAGUAAGUGUCCCCCAAAGACCCAAGCAUCGACUGAGGUUAUAGUUCCCAAGAUGGUGCUGUUGGCCUUCAUCUUCCAAAAGCCGGGCCUGUUCUUCACAGAAACUCAACAGGGAGGAGGUGCUCACUGAUAUUUGUCACCAGACUGAGCCCAGAUGCCCACCGCUGUGACUGUGUUGGCUGCGUGGCUGCUUCAGCCUCCCCCCACACCGCCAGCCCCCAUUGCCGUCAUCAGAGUCUUGAAGAACGAGAG